rnacentral:rRNA from 1 species
AGAGCGAACGCUGGCGGCAGGCCUAACACAUGCAAGUCGAGCGCCCGUAGCAAUACGGGAGCGGCAGACGGGAUAGUAACACGUGGGAACGCGCCCUUCGGUUCGGAAUAACUCAGGGAAACUUGAGCUAAUACCGGAUACGCCCUUACGGGGAAAGAUUUAUUGCCGAAGGAACGGCCCGCGUCCGAUUAGCUAGUUGGUGAGGUAAUGGCUCACCAAGGCGACGAUCGGUAGCUGGUCUGAGAGGAUGACCAGCAUCACUGGGACUGAGACACGGCCCAGACUCCUACGGGAGGCAGCAGUGGGGAAUAUUGGACAAUGGGCGCAAGCCUGAUCCAGCCAUGCCGCGUGGAUGAUGAAGGCCUUAGGGUUGUAAAGUCCUUUUAACGGGGAAGAUAAUGACGGUACCCGUAGAAUAAGCCCCGGCUAACUUCGCGCCAGCAGGCCGC